rnacentral:rRNA from 1 species
GUGCCAGCAGCCGCGGUAAUUCCAGCUCCAAUAGCGUAUAUUAAAGUUGUUGUGGUUAAAAAGCUCGUAGUUGAACCUUGGGCCUGGCUGGCCGGUCCGCCUCACCGCGUGCACUGGUCCGGCCGGGCCUUUCCCUCUGUGGAACCCCAUACCCUUCACUGGGCGUGGCGGGGAAACAGGACAUUUACUUUGAAAAAAUUAGAGUGCUCCAGGCAGGCCUAUGCUCGAAUACAUUAGCAUGGAAUAAUAAAAUAGGACGCGCGGUUCUAUUUUGUUGGUUUAUAGGACCGCCGUAAUGAUUAAUAGGGACAGUCGGGGGCAUCAGUAUUCAACUGUCAGAGGUGAAAUUCUUGGAUCAGUUGAAGACUAACUACUGCGAAAGCAUUUGCCAAGGAUGUUUUCAUUAAUCAGGAACGAAAGUUAGGGGAUCGAAGACGAUCAGAUACCGUCGUAGUCUUAACCAUAAACUAUGCCGACUAGGGAUCGGACGGUGUUAUUCAUGACCCGUUCGGCACCUUACGAGAAAUCAAAGUGCUUGGGCUCCAGGGGGAGUAUGGUCGCAAGGCUGAAACUUAAAGAAAUUGACGGAAGGGCACCACCAGGGGUGGAGCCUGCGGCUUAAUUUGACUCAACACGGGGCAAACUCACCAGGUCCAGACACAAUAAGGAUUGACAGAUUGAGAGCUCUUUCUUGAUUUUGUGGGUGGUGCUGCAUGGCCGUUCUUAGUGGUGGGGUGACUUGUCUGCUUAAUGCGAUACGAACGAGACCUUACCUGCUAAAUAGCCCGCAUUGCUCCGGCAGUGCGCUGGCUUCUUAGAGGGACUUUCGGCUCAAGCCGAAGGAAGU